CUCUAAGGUGACUGCCGGUGACAAACCGGAGGAAGGUGGGGAUGACGUCAAAUCAUCAUGCCCCUUAUGACCUGGGCUACACACGUGCUACAAUGGACGGUACAAAGAGCUGCAAGACCGCGAGGUGGAGCUAAUCUCAUAAAACCGUUCUCAGUUCGGAUUGUAGGCUGCAACUCGCCUACAUGAAGCUGGAAUCGCUAGUAAUCGCGGAUCAGCAUGCCGCGGUGAAUACGUUCCCGGGCCUUGUACACACCGCCCGUCACACCACGAGAGUUUGUAACACCCGAAGUCGGUGGGGUAACCUUUUUGGAGCCAGCCGCCUAAGGUGGGACAGAUGAUUGGGGUGAAGUCGUAACAAGGUAGCCGUAUCGGAAGGUGCGGCUGGAUCACCUCCUUUCUAUGGAGA
rnacentral:rRNA from 1 species